rnacentral:rRNA from 1 species
AUGCAUCCCAAUAAUUGGGCAUCUGUUACCGUCAAAACUGCGCUGUUAUGCUUAUUUUGGACUUGUGGAUUGCUAUGCUUGGAUAAGGAAACAGAAAACAAGUUCUUGAGUAGUAUAUGGUGUUUGGAUAUUCCAAUGUCAGCAUUGAAAGAAGGGCCAUGUUAUUGGAAAUCUACAGGGCGAUAUAAAUGGUCUGGAACACAGAAUAUAUACUGUUUGGAUAUUCAAACGUCAACAUUGAAAGAAGGGUCAUGUUGUGGAAAUCUAAAGGGUGAUAUGAAUGGUCUGAAACACAGAAUAAAUUCAGCUUCGUAUUCAAUAAACGCUCCAAAAAUAGGAGAAUUGCUCUCACAGCCUGAGGGCCAGGGGGUCUUUCCAUUUUCCCCCUUGUGCCUCUUCGCGUCGUCGUCUUCCUCGCGCCGACCGACCCUCCAGCUCUGCCGCCGCCGUCGUCCUUCGCCUCUGCUUCGACAAAGGCCGCUGCAUCAACCUGAUCGUAUCAGAGAAAAGCGGUGA